GGCAGCAUUACAGGGCAUGUUCUCCUUUGGCAGGUAGCCAUAUGCUAUGAUAUGCAUUGCAACCAUACUCUUUGAGUGUGUAACCUGCCAAAGGAGAUUUGCCCAGCAAUUCUCCC
rfam:Medicago truncatula strain A17 chromosome 8, whole genome shotgun sequence.